ACGAAAAUUGAACUCACUGAUUACUGGUCGUUUUCUCAAUCAGUGGACUCAUUUUUUGUU
rnacentral:pre_miRNA from 1 species